rnacentral:rRNA from 1 species
UUCCGGUUGAUCCUGCCGGACCUGACUGCUAUCGGAUUGAUACUAAGCCAUGCGAGUCAUUGUAGCAAUACAAGGCAGACGGCUCAGUAACGCGUAGUCAAUCUACCCUAUGGACGGGAAUAACCUCGGGAAACUGAGAAUAAUGCCCGAUAGAACAUUAUGCCUGGAAUGGUUUAUGUUUCAAAUGAUUUAUCGCCAUAGGAUGGGACUGCGGCCUAUCAGUUUGUUGGUGAGGUAAUGGCCCACCAAGACUAUUACAGGUACGGGCUCUGAGAGGAGUAGCCCGGAGAUGGGUACUGAGACACGGACCCAGGCCCUAUGGGGCGCAGCAGGCGAGAAAACUUUGCAAUGUGCGAAAGCACGACAAGGUUAAUCCGAGUGGUUUCUGCUAAAGAAACCUUUUGUCAGUCCUAGAAACACUAACGAAUAAGGGGUGGGCAAGUUCUGGUGUCAGCCGCCGCGGUAAAACCAGCACCUCAAGUGGUCAGGAUGAUUAUCGGGCCUAAAGCAUCCGUAGCUCGUUUUGUAAGUUUUCGGUUAAAUCCAUGCGCUUAACGUAUGGGCUGCCGGGAAUACUGCAUAACUAGGAAGUGGGAGAGGUAGACGGUACUCGGGAGGAAGGGGUAAAAUCCUUUGAUCUCUCGAUGGCCACCUGUGGCGAAGGCGGUCUACCAGAACACGUUCGACGGUGAGGGAUGAAAGCUGGGGGAGCAAACCGGAUUAGAUACCCGGGUAGUCCCAGCUGUAAACUAUGCAAACUCAGUGAUGCAUUGGCUUAUGGCCAAUGCAGUGCUGCAGGGAAGCCGUUAAGUUUGCCGCCUGGGAAGUACGUACGCAAGUAUGAAACUUAAAGGAAUUGGCGGGGGAGCA